rnacentral:rRNA from 1 species
GAUGAACGCUGGCGGCGUGCCUAAUACAUGCAAGUCGAGCGAACAGACGAGGAGCUUGCUCCUCUGACGUUAGCGGCGGACGGGUGAGUAACACGUGGAUAACCUACCUAUAAGACUGGGAUAACUUCGGGAAACCGGAGCUAAUACCGGAUAAUAUAUUGAACCGCAUGGUUCAAUAGUGAAAGACGGUUUUGCUGUCACUUAUAGAUGGAUCCGCGCCGCAUUAGCUAGUUGGUAAGGUAACGGCUUACCAAGGCAACGAUGCGUAGCCGACCUGAGAGGGUGGACGGACACACUGGAACUGAGACACGGUCCAGACUCCUGCGGGUGGCAGCAGUAGGGAAUCUUCCGCAAUGGGCCAAAGCCUGACGGAGCAACGCCGCGUGAGUGAUGAAGGUCUUCGGAUCGUAAAACUCUGUGAUUAGGGAAGAACAAAUGUGUAAGUAACUAUGCACGUCUUGACGGUACCUAAUCAGAAAGCCACGGCUAACUACGUG